CCCGCGCUCCUCCGGGCAGAGCGCGUGUGGCGGCCGAGCACAUGGGCCCGCGGGCCGGGCGGGCUCGGGGCGGCCGGGACGAGGAGGGGCGACGACGAGCUGCGAGCAAAGAUGUGCCCCGGGACCCCCGGCACCUUCCAGUGGAUUUCCUUGCGGAAAGGAUGUUGGCGGUCCCUGUGACCUGUGGAGACACGGCCAGAUCUGCCCUCCAGCCUGAUCUUUUGGCCAGAAGGAGAUUAAAAAGAUGCCCCUCAAGAUGGCUGUGCCUGUCAGCUGCAUGGAGCUUCGUUCAAGUAUUUUCUGAGCCUGAUGGAUUUACAGUGAUCUUCAGUGGUCUGGGGAAUAACGCUGGUGGAACCAUGCACUGGAAUGACACACGCCCGGCACAUUUCAGGAUACUAAAAGUGGUUUUAAGGGAGGCUGUGGCUGAAUGCCUCAUGGAUUCUUACAGCUUGGAUGUCCAUGGGGGACGAAGGACUGCAGCUGGCUGAGAGGGUUGAGAUCUCUGUUUACUUAGAUCUCUGCCAACUUCCUUUGGGUCUCCCUAUGGAAUGUAAGACCCCGACUCUUCCUGGUGAAGCAUCUGAUGCACGUUCCAUCCGGCGCUCAGCUGGGCUUGAGCUGACCAUACUCCCUGGAGCCUUCUCCCGAGGUGCGCGGGUGACCUUGGCACAUACAGCCAUCAUGAUGGUACUUUAAGUGGAGGCUGAAUCAUCUCCCCUUUGAGCUGCUUGGCACGUGGCUCCCUUGGUGUUCCCCUUUUACUGCCAGGACACUGAGAUUUGGAGAGAGUCUCACUCUGUGGUCCAGGCUGAAGUACAGUGGCAUGAUCCCAGGUCACUGCAACCCCCACCUCCCGGGUUCAAGUGAUCCUCCUGCCUCAGCCUCCCGAGUAGCUGGUAUUACAGGCGUGUGCCACAAAGCCUGGCUAAGUUUUGUAUUUUUAGUAGAGACGGGGUUUCACCAUGUUGGCCAGGUUGGUCUCGAACUCCUGACCUCAAGUGAUCCACUCACUUUGGCCUUUCAACGUGCUGGGAUUACAGGCGAGAGUCACCGCACCCGGACGACUCUGACAUUUUUGAAGAGUCCAGAAUCCUGUUACACCUGGGAUUUAGGCACUUUCAAUCUGAAAAAAUACAUAUCCUUUCAGCACUCUGGACGGACUUGAGAACUGUCCUUACGUGACCUAAAGCUGGAGUAUUUUGAGAUUGGAGAAUUAAGAGUGUGGGCACCCUGGCUUCAAGCUCACGAGAAACCAGAAGGAAGUCACUGUGCAUAGCCAUCCCCUAAGAAGAGGGCAUUCCUGCUCUUCCUUCUCCAUGGCUAGAGGAUCUACAUGAACUAUUUAGAUUUUUUCUACCUGGGAGAUUUAACUCCUCUCUCCUAUUUAUUUAUUUAUAUAUCAGCAUGGACUUGCAGGCCAACAGAGAUUUUGAGAAACACAUUGAAGGAUCUGUUAACACUUGAUAUACCCAAUAAAAGCAGUGGUUGUGCCAGUGCUGAUCUGUCUUGAUGUGAAUGUGAACAAUGGGAACCUGAGCUGAGCAGUUAAUGCUAGGGUGACAGAAACUGGACCUCUCCCAAGACAUGUGACAGAGUAAUACAGCAGCCAACUUCUUCGCCAAAUUAAAGUUUUACAAGAUUUAACCUGUCAUCAAGACCUGGGAUUUUGGUGAGCCAGUCUUGGUGCUCUGUGUUCACCUGGUUCAUCUGAGGAGCUGCAUCUACCCUGCCCAUGCCAUAGAUCCUGCCCUGUUUGCUUCUCCUGUUGCUGCUAGUGGACAUGAGAAGGACAGAAUAACGGGCUCCCAGAUUCACAAGCCCCACCAAGAGGAUCACCCCAGGAACGCUUGGAGGCUGAGGAGUUCACUGAGGCUACUGCAUCUUGAGACUCAGGAUGAAGACCCAGCUUGGGGCUGUCAAAGGUUUUUUGCAUGUCUGACACCCAUGACUCCACCUGGACCUUAUGGCUCCACCCAGAAGCAAUUCAGCCCAACAGGAGGACAGCUUCAACCCAUUACGAUUUCAUCUCUGCCCCAACCACUCAGCAGCAAGCACCUGUUACCUGUCCACCCCCACCCCUUCCCCCAAACUGCCUUUGAAAAAUCCCUAACCUAUGAGCUUUGAAUAAGAUGAGUACGAACUUCAUCGCCCACGUGGCGUGGCCGGCCUCGUGUCUAUUAAAUUCUUUUUCUACUACAA
rnacentral:lncRNA from 1 species